rnacentral:lncRNA from 1 species
CGGAUGCUGCAGGUGCCAAAACAGACGUGGUGUGGUACCUGCAAUUACCAGCUACCUGGUGCUCCAGCUCCUGCAACGUUCUGGCAACAGACACUAUGUCCAGUUCCACUUCAAAGCUGCCUCUGUGCUUUCAGAAUCACAACAUCAAGCCAGCAAGACCUUCUUCCCUAGGGUUGCUUGCCCUGUGGACUCUCCAUGGUCACAUCUGGAAUUAUGCAGGUAUCUGAUUUGUAUCAUAGACGAGCUGGCUUGAUUGCUGUUUUGCCAUAGAGUAAUAGUUCCCUGCUCUCCACUGACAUGCUGAGUCUCCCUUGAUCACUCAGGUGAUCAGUCAACACACGAGUUAAUUAUGGGUGAAGGGGUGUCUGGAGCCCAAAGAUCAAAAGAUACGCACAAGGUCUUCUCCAAGUCAUUAUUCACCUCCUUAAGCAUCAGGCAGUCGUUUCAGAUUCCUGCCUCCUGUACUGUCCUUAAAUAAAGUGAUAUAACAGCAGGAAACCUGAAUUAGA